GAUGAACGCUAGCGGCAGGCUUAAUACAUGCAAGUCGAGGGGUAACAUGGUAGCAAUACUGAUGACGACCGGCAAACGGGUGCGGAACACGUACAGAACCUUCCUUUAAGCGGGGGAUAGCCCAUAGAAAUGUGGAUUAAUACCCCAUAGUAAUAUUGACUGGCAUCAGUUGAUAUUUAAAGAUUUAUCACUUAAAGAUGGCUGUGCGGCUGAUUAGGUAGUUGGGUGGGUAACGGCCCACCAAGCCAGCGAUCAGUAACUGGUGUGAGAGCACGACCAGUCACACGGGCACUGAGACACGGGCCCGACUCCUACGGGAGGCAGCAGUAAGGAAUAUUGGUCAAUGGACGCAAGUCUGAACCAGCCAUGCCGCGUGAAGGAUGAAGGCCCUCUGGGUUGUAAACUUCUUUUAUCUGGGAAGAAAUGCCUGUUUUCUAACGGGUUUGACGGUACCAGAGGAAUAAGCACCGGCUAACUCCGUGCCAGCA
rnacentral:rRNA from 1 species